rnacentral:lncRNA from 1 species
AAAGAAGGGGUCAGGGAAAACUGGGUGAGGUCUGAUUUUCCCUUUCUGCACUUGCUGAGGCCUGACUGGGUGUCCAGCACUGGGGGAAGAUGUAGGAAAAGGAGACUCCAUCGUCUUUCCCCGGGCGCAGGAAGUUUAUGUGUAUGAGGCAGAGUAACCCAAGGAUGCCAAGGAUCCAAAUGAGAGUGAAAGCGGAAUACCUGGUUAUCCGGAGGUCACUGUCUCCACACAGAGUGGUGUCCUUGAUGCUAGCUUGGGGCAAAGAAGCCAGGCAAUCAAGGCUUUAAAUGCGUGGAUUUAUCAUCACCUCAAAUCGCCUGUCACUGUGAUGGAACAAAAAUAGAAAGGUAACCAGGAUGCUGUAAGAGGUUUGAAUCAACAUACUUUUCCUGGUCAGUUCACUGUUUUCAAGACUCGUUUAUGAGGAGAAAAAAAUUGUAGGGAGAGGAGAUAUGAGAGAAGAAAGAAGUGAUAGAGGGAAAGGGAAUGAAGACUGUUUGAAAGGGUUUGGUCUCUGUUCCUGUAAAGAUUGACCUGCAGUGUUCU